rnacentral:rRNA from 1 species
GGGAAUAUUGGACAAUGGGCGAAAGCCUGAUCCAGCCAUGCCGCGUGUGUGAAGAAGGUCUUCGGAUUGUAAAGCACUUUAAGUUGGGAGGAAGGGCAGUUACCUAAUACGUAUCUGUUUUGACGUUACCGACAGAAUAAGCACCGGCUAACUCUGUGCCAGCAGCCGCGGUAAUACAGAGGGUGCAAGCGUUAAUCGGAAUUACCGGGCGUAAAGCGCGCGUAGGUGGUUUGUUAAGUUGGAUGUGAAAUCCCCGGGCUCAACCUGGGAACUGCAUUCAAAACUGACAAGCUAGAGUAUGGUAGAGGGUGGUGGAAUUUCCUGUGUAGCGGUGAAAUGCGUAGAUAUAGGAAGGAACACCAGUGGCGAAGGCGACCACCUGGACUGAUACUGACACUGAGGUGCGAAAGCGUGGGGAGCAAA